CUACGGGUUGCUCCAGUGAGGAAUAUUGCACAAUGGGGGGAACCCUGAUGCAGCAACGCCGCGUGGAGGAUGACGCAUUUCGGUGUGUAAACUCCUUUUAUAUGUCAAGAAAAUGACGGUAGCAUAUGAAUAAGCACCGGCUAACUCCGUGCCAGCAGCCGCGGUAAUACGGAGGGUGCAAGCGUUACUCGGAAUCACUGGGCGUAAAGGACGCGUAGGCGGGUUGGAAAGUCAGGUGUGAAAUCCUACAGCUUAACUGUAGAACUGCACUUGAAACUUCUAAUCUAGAGUAUGGGAGGGGGAGAUGGAAUUAGUGGUGCAGGGGUAAAAUCCGUAGAUAUCACUAGGAAUACCUAAAGCGAAGGCGAUCUCCUGGAACAUUACUGACGCUAAGGCGUGAAAGCGUGGGGAGCAAACAGGAUUAGAUACCCGCGUGGUC
rnacentral:rRNA from 1 species